UACGUAGGGUGCAAGCGUUAAUCGGAAUUACUGGGCGUAAAGCGUGCGCAGGCGGUUCCGCAAGUCAGAUGUGAAAUCCCCGGGCUCAACCUGGGAACUGCAUUUGAAACUACGGAGCUAGAGUGUGUCAGAGGGGGGUGGAAUUCCACGUGUAGCAGUGAAAUGCGUAGAGAUGUGGAGGAACACCAAUGGCGAAGGCAGCCCCCUGGGAUAACACUGACGCUCAUGCACGAAAGCGUGGGGAGCAAACAGG
rnacentral:rRNA from 1 species